AACCCACGAUCUCCCUCUCUAUUCGGACGGACCGAACUCCCCCUCACCCAGCUCUCUAUUCGCAAGCCCCUCAGGUCCGUCGGCCUCCUCCCUUGGUUGCGUGAGAACUGAGAAGCCCCCAGGCCGCCCCCGUCUCCUCUCAUUCCCAUGACCGAACCUCCCCUUGGCUUCAUCUGUUUCUAGCUUUGCAAGAAGGCCGAACGAAAGCCCUACCUCCCCGUCUUCCUUUUUGUUCGCAAGAAACCCAGGCGGAGUCUCCCUCUAUCCCGUCGGUUCCGCCCCAAGGAAGGCAGCCCGAAGCCAUCCUGGUUGGGCGGUUCUUGCUUUAGCCAAUCCUGUCCGAAGCCCUUUCUUGCCCUAGCCACCGGCCAUAGGUCCAGGUUUGGCUAAGGUGCUAGCUAAUUGAAAUGCCAAGUGAAUCAUAAAUUGCUGCAGCGUCUUAAUUUCUUGGCUAUACUAAAAUUGAAGCUUGAUUUUAACCUGGGAGAGAGCUUGUUAGAAUCGAGGAAUAAGUUCGAUGAAUCUUAAAAUUGAAGAUGUUCAAUAAUUUCUUGGCUACUGCUGCAGCGUCUUAACUUCUUUAAUGAGAACCAAUACAGAAUAGCUUGAUUUUAACCUGGUAUUAGAUUCAUUAGGCAUAUUUUUUAAUUUAUUGAACCUUUUUUAGCCCGUUUCUUGCAAUUUUGUUCAGCACUUUAACCUUUUUAAAUUUUUGGAUGAACAAUAGCCUUCUAAGUGGCAUAGCUUCUUCAGUUUGCUUCUUUCAUUUGAUGCUUAUACGUCUCGGUGUGAUAGUGCAGGAUUAAGUAUGUACAUGGAUUUUGCAUGUGCUUAUUUGAAUCGGUGUAUUUUAUGUGGUAAUAAACUUGUUAAUAGCAUCUACCAUAUUUUAUUUGGGCUCCUUGUGCUAUCAACCAUAGUUUCAGGGAGAAGACUUAUUUAUUAUGUUUAUACCCAAAGGAUCAAAUGGUUUUUUUUUAUAUAUUUAUCUUUAGUAAUUGGAUGAAUCUUAAAAUUGAAGUUGUUCAUUACUUUCAAGUUGUUUCGUGGUAAUUUGGUAACUAUUUGAUGGUAUAAUUAUUGCUGCACACAAACCCCUUUCAUGAAUUAUUAUUGCUCAUGAAUCAUUUUUUGCUUGAAGUUGAAUUUUAUAGUUACAAAGAUGGUCGAGCCAUUGGAAGAUGUUGCUGAACUACAUGAAAUU